AUACCUUUCUCGGCCUUUUGGCUAAGAUCAAGUGUAGUAUCUGUUCUUAUCAGUUUAAUAUCUGAUAUGUGGAUUAUAGAUCCACACGAUAUUAAAUUAAUUUUUUAGAGGGGAGGGCUCAUUACAGUAGCUUGCUGCUGGAGCUCUUGCGCGUUGCCUUUGUGUUACACUAUUGCAUUGGCUGGCGCACCCUAC